rnacentral:rRNA from 1 species
UACGUAGGUGACAAGCGUUGUCCGGAUUUACUGGGCGUAAAGAGCGCGCAGGCGGUCGAUCAAGUCGAGUGUGAAAGCCCCCGGCUCAACUGGGGAGGGUCAUUCGAUACUGAUCGACUCGAAGGCAGGAGAGGGUAGUGGAAUUCCCGGUGUAGUGGUGAAAUGCGUAGAUAUCGGGAGGAACACCAGUGGCGAAGGCGACUACCUGGCCUGUUCUUGACGCUGAGGCGCGAAAGCUAGGGGAGCAACGGGGAUUAAGAAACCCUG